AGCACAGGCAUUAAGAUGGAGUCAGAGAAUAAAGUCUUCAUAUUCCUAUUGCUCUGGUUGUCUGGUGCUGAUGGAAACAUUGUGAUGACCCAGUCUCCCAAACCCAUGUCCUUGACCUGCAAGGCCAUUCAGAAUGUGGUUAGUGCUUUAUCCUGGUACCAACAGAAAUCAGGGCAGUCGCCUAAACCUCUGAUCUUCGGAGCAUCCAACAGGUACACUGGGGUCCCUGAUCGCUUCACAGGCGGUGGAUCUGGGAAAGAUUUCACUCUAUCAGCAGUGUGCAGGCUGAAGACCCAGGCAUUUAUUUUGUCAGCAGUAUAG